CAAUGCCCGGCAUUACUUCCGGGAGCUGCUGUCAGGGGAAACUAGCAGCUUCUGACCUGCAAAAUGAGCAGUUACCAUCUUUACUCUGCAGUCUGCCUCCCACACGGAAUAUUAUAAACAUCAGAUGAGAUACUGUGUAAACAACAUGCUUCGAGGAGGACAGUGACAAAUAAGAUCUGUCCUGAGGACCAUAACGAUGAUGGAUAGGGGUCUCGGUAAUCUUGUGGUAUGUGGGAAGACUCCAGAGCUGGAAAAAUUUAUAUUGGAGAAGACUUAACAAGAUAUAAGAGUUUCAAGUAUCUAACGGGCUGCCUUGCAGAAGAGGAAUUCGUCAUUGGGGAAGUUCUUUGCAUCAAGUCUUAUGAAGUAUUUCACUUCGAAACCACAGGAAACAGGAUUGGAAAACAGGAGCAAAUGUUUCAGAUUCACAGACUAGGAAACUGGAAAAUGUCAAGGCAAAACAGAGACGACGAGUUACAACACAAUUAAAGGAGCGAUGUGGACCAUGGUAUGUUUAGGGAUUAUGAUCCCCAAAGGGGCUGGUUUUACA
rnacentral:lncRNA from 1 species